UCCUGUCCUCCAAAAACCUUCUAAUCUUCAUAAAUUAAAAUCAUGAUAUUGCUGCAGUCAAAAAGAAGCCCAGAAUAAUAAUUUUCCUUGAUAGUCACAGUUCUGUUUGCUGUUAACUAAUCUGCAACAUUUGGGGGAAGAAUGGUU
ensembl:snoRNA